CAGGAAGUGUGUGUACAUUUGAGUCAGAGUCUUGGGAAUCUUUCCUUUCCACGAUUUCCACAACAUCUUCUCUAGAACAGUGGCUGAGAUCCAGCAGAACACUGGGAUGUGACACAUAAUAAAGAGGCUCCUUGAUGACUUCAGGUGUGAGAUGAUCCUGUCGGCCAGACUCCGAUCACUGAUUCUCUUCCUGAAGUAUUCCUGCUUCUGUGGGUCACUGAAGCCUCGUACCUCUGUCACUCGAUGGACACACUCAGAGGGGACGAGAUCAGCUGCUGCUGGUCUGGAGGUGAUCCAGAUGAGAGCAGAGGGAAGCAGAUUCCCCACAAUGAGGUUCGUCAGCAGCACGUCCACUGAGGCUGAUUCAGUCACAUCACACAACCUCACAUCGCUCUGAAAAUCCAGAGACAGACGACACUCAUCCAGACCAUCAAAGAUGAAGGAAACUUUAUACUUAUCACUGGAUAUUUCCAUUUCUUUUGUUUCAGGGAAAAAGACAUGAAGAAGAUCU